rnacentral:rRNA from 1 species
UGGGGAAUAUUGGUCAAUGGGCGAAAGCCUGAACCAGCAAUGCCGCGUGGGUGAUGAAGGCCUUCGGGUUGUAAAGCCCUGUCGGAGGGAAAGAAAAAGUCAGCUAAUAACUGACCUUGACGGUACCCUCAAAGGAAGCACCGGCUAACUCUGUGCCAGCAGCCGCGGUAAUACAGAGGGUGCAAGCGUUGUUCGGAAUUACUGGGCGUAAAGCGCGUGUAGGCGGCUUGAUUAGUCGGACGUGAAAUCCCUUGGCUUAACCAAGGAACUGCGCCCGAUACUGUCAGGCUUGAGUGUCGGAGGGGAUGGUGGAAUUCCCGGUGUAGAGGUGAAAUUCGUAGAGAUCGGGAGGAACAUCUGUGGCGAAGGCGACCAUCUGGAAGACAACUGACGCUGAGACGCGAAAGCGUGGGGAGCAAACAGG